ensembl:snRNA U6 U6 spliceosomal RNA
GUGUUCACUUCUGCAGCACAUAUACUAAAAUUGUAACAAUACAGAGAUUAGCAUGGCCCCUGCACAAGGAUGACAUGCAAAUUCAUGAAGCGUUCCAUAUUUUU